AUGCCUUCUUCAUAUGGCUUCAUCCCCAUGAACAAUCAAGCGAAUCUACCGUCUACAACUUCUGAUCGGCCUUCGGCACCACGCACUCCUCAUCACUCUGUCUUCAUGUCGAUUGCUUCGAGAAUCUAUGCUCUCGCCGCUCAACCUUUAUUUACGCUUCAAACGUCACUGUCCAAUUUGCUUUGCUAUCAUUCUGUUGUGAUUUCUCUCCUACGAUUCGAACUCACCUCUGUCCGUUCAUUUUCAUGA